rnacentral:rRNA from 1 species
AUUGAACGCUGGCGGCAGGCUUAACACAUGCAAGUCGAGCGGGGGAAGGUAGCUUGCUACUGGACCUAGCGGCGGACGGGUGAGUAAUGCUUAGGAAUCUGCCUAUUAGUGGGGGACAACAUCUCGAAAGGGAUGCUAAUACCGCAUACGUCCUACGGGAGAAAGCAGGGGAUCUUCGGACCUUGCGCUAAUAGAUGAGCCUAAGUCGGAUUAGCGAGUUGGUGGGGUAAAGGCCUACCAAGGCGACGAUCUGUAGCGGGUCUGAGAGGAUGGUCCGCCACACUGGGACUGAGACACGGCCCAGACUCCUACGGGAGGCAGCAGUGGGGAAUAUUGGACAAUGGGGGGAACCCUGAUCCAGCCAUGCCGCGUGUGUGAAGAAGGCCUUAUGGUUGUAAAGCACUUUAAGCGAGGAGGAGGCUACUCUAGUUAAUACCUAGGGAUAGUGGACGUUACUCGCAGAAUAAGCACCGGCUAACUCUGUGCCAGCCGCCGCGGUAA